UGGUGGGUAGUUUGACUGGGGCGGUCUCCUCCUAAAGAGUAACGGAGGAGCACGAAGGUUGGCUAAUCCUGGUCGGACAUCAGGAGGUUAGUGCAAUGGCAUAAGCCAGCUUGACUGCGAGCGUGACGGCGCGAGCAGGUGCGAAAGCAGGUCAUAGUGAUCCGGUGGUUCUGAAUGGAAGGGCCAUCGCUCAACGGAUAAAAGGUACUCCGGGGAUAACAGGCUGAUACCGCCCAAGAGUUCAUAUCGACGGCGGUGUUUGGCACCUCGAUGUCGGCUCAUCACAUCCUGGGGCUGAAGUAGGUCCCAAGGGUAUGGCUGUUCGCCAUUUAAAGUGGUACGCGAGCUGGGUUUAGAACGUCGUGAGACAGUUCGGUCCCUAUCUGCCGUGGGCGCUGGAGAAUUGAGGGGGGCUGCUCCUAGUACGAGAGGACCGGAGUGGACGCAUCACUGGU
rnacentral:rRNA from 1 species